rnacentral:rRNA from 1 species
AGUGAACGCUGGCGGUAGGCCUAACACAUGCAAGUCGAACGGCAGCACAGUAAGAGCUUGCUCUUACGGGUGGCGAGUGGCGGACGGGUGAGGAAUACAUCGGAAUCUACUUUUUCGUGGGGGACAACGUAGGGAAACUUACGCUAAUACCGCAUACGACCUACGGGUGAAAGCAGGGGAUCUUCGGACCUUGCGCGAUUGAAUGAGCCGAUGUCGGAUUAGCUAGUUGGCGGGGUAAAGGCCCACCAAGGCGACGAUCCGUAGCUGGUCUGAGAGGAUGAUCGGCCACACUGGAACUGAGACACGGUCCAGACUCCUACGGGAGGCAGCAGUGGGGAAUAUUGGACAAAGGGCGCAAGCCUGAUCCAGCCAUGCCGCGUGGGUGAAGAAGGCCUUCGGGUUGUAAAGCCCUUUUGUUGGGAAAGAAAAGCAGCAGGUUAAUACCCCGCUGUUCUGACGGUACCCAAAGAAUAAGCACCGGCUAACUUCGUG